ACACGUGCUACAAUGGCCGGUACAGACGGAACGCAAAGCCGCGAGGUGGAGGCAAAUCCUAAAAAGCCGGUACUCAGUUCGGAUUGCAGGCUGCAAUUCGCCUGCAUGAAGUCGGAAUCGCUAGUAAUCGCGGAUCAGCAUGCCGCGGUCGAAUACGUUCCGGCCUU
rnacentral:rRNA from 1 species